rnacentral:tRNA from 1 species
GCGGAUGUACCCAAGUGGAUCAAGGCAGG